UAGCUCAGUUGGUUAGAGCACCACCUUGACAUGGUGGGGGUCGGUGGUUCGAGUCCA
rnacentral:tRNA from 1 species